GACGAACGCUGGCGGCGUGCCUAAUACAUGCAAGUAGAACGCUGAAGAGAGGAGCUUGCUCUUCUUGGAUGAGUUGCGAACGGGUGAGUAACGCGUAGGUAACCUGCCUUGUAGCGGGGGAUAACUAUUGGAAACGAUAGCUAAUACCGCAUAACAAUGGAUGACACAUGUCAUUUAUUUGAAAGGGGCAAUUGCUCCACUACAAGAUGGACCUGCGUUGUAUUAGCUAGUAGGUGAGGUAAUGGCUCACCUAGUCGACGAUACAUAGCCGACCUGAGAGGGUGAUCGGCCACACUGGGACUGAGACACGGCCCAGACUCCUACGGGAGGCAGCAGUAGGGAAUCUUCGGCAAUGGGGGCAACCCUGACCGAGCAACGCCGCGUGAGUGAAGAAGGUUUUCGGAUCGUAAAGCUCUGUUGUAAGUCAAGAACGGGUGUGAGAGUGGAAAGUUCACACUGUGACGGUAGCUUACCAGAAAGGGACGGCUAACUACGUG
rnacentral:rRNA from 1 species